UACGUAGGGGGCGAGCGUUGUCCGGAGUUACUGGGCGUAAAGCGCACGCAGGCGGUCUGCUAAGUUUGGAGUGACAGUUGGUGGCUUAACUGCCAAAGUGCUUCGAAAACUGACAGACUUGAGGGCUUCAGAGGGACACGGAAUUCCGGGUGGAGUGGUGAAAUGCGUAGAGAUCGGGAGGAACACCUGUGGCGAAGGCGGCCGGCUGGGGGUACCCUGACGCUGAGGCGCGACAGCGUGGGGAGCGAACCGG
rnacentral:rRNA from 1 species